rnacentral:rRNA from 1 species
ACAUGCAAGUCGAACGGUAACAGGAAUUAGCUUGCUAAUUUGCUGACGAGUGGCGCACGGGUGCGUAACGCGUAUACAAUCUACCUUUUGCUGAGGGAUAGCCCAGAGAAAUUUGGAUUAAUACCUCAUAGUAUUAUUGAGUGGCAUCAUUUAAUAAUUAAAGGUUACGGCAAAAGAUGAGUAUGCGUACCAUUAGUUUGUUGGUAAGGUAACAGCUUACCAAGACUACGAUGGUUAGGGGUCCUGAGAGGGAGAUCCCCCACACUGGUACUGAGACACGGACCAGACUCCUACGGGAGGCAGCAGUGAGGAAUAUUGGACAAUGGACGAGAGUCUGAUCCAGCCAUGCCGCGUGCAGGAAGACUGCCCUAUGGGUUGUAAACUGCUUUUAUACAGGAAGAAUAAGGUCUACGUGUAGACUGAUGACGGUACUGUAAGAAUAAGGACCGGCUAACUCCGUGCCAGCAGCCGCGGUAAUACGGAGGGUCCGAGCGUUAUCCGGAAUUAUUGGGUUUAAAGGGUCCGUAGGCGGAUGAUUAAGUCAGNGGUGAAAGUUUGCAGCUCAACUGUAAAAUUGCCUUUGAUACUGGUUAUCUUGAGUUGUAUUGAAGUAGGCGGAAUAUGUAGUGUAGCGGUGAAAUGCAUAGAUAUUACAUAGAACACCAAUUGCGAAGGCAGCUUACUAAGUACUAACUGACGCUGAUGAUUGA